rnacentral:misc_RNA from 1 species
AAUUCUCAACCUAACCAGUUUUCUGUGUUAGGCUUGGAUGUGGGGGUUUUGCAGGCUGCCUCAGUGCGGUCUGCUCUCCUGAAAUGCAUUAGCGAGUUCAAACUAAGCUCUGUCUAUUGGUGUGAUAAUUAUCUACGCCGUGGAAUGGGCUUAGACUUGCUUCCAACCGUCUGCAAGGACACUCUUUUGACA